rnacentral:rRNA from 1 species
UGAUCCUGCGGAAGGUCAUUA